rnacentral:rRNA from 1 species
GGACUACAAGGGUUUCUAAUCCUGUUUGCUACCCGUGCUUUCGCGCUUCAGCGUCAGUUACAGACCAGAUGGCCGCCUUCGCCUCAGGUGUUCCUCCCGGUAUCUAUGCAUUUCACCGCUACUCCGGGAAUUCCGCCAUCCUCUUCUGCACUCCAGUCAAAUAGUUUCUGAUGCACUUCCUCAGUUAAGCCAAGGGUUUUCACAUCAGACAUAUCUAACAACCUACGCGCCCUUUACGCCCAGUGAUUCCGAACAACGCUUGCAACCUCUGUCUUACCGCGGCGGCUGGCAC